UACGUAGGGUGCAAGCGUUAAUCGGAAUUACUGGGCGUAAAGCGUGCGCAGGCGGUUGUGUAAGUCAGAUGUGAAAUCCCCGGGCUCAACCUGGGAAUUGCAUUUGAGACUGCACGGCUAGAGUGUGUCAGAGGGGGGUAGAAUUCCACGUGUAGCAGUGAAAUGCGUAGAGAUGUGGAGGAAUACCGAUGGCGAAGGCAGCCCCCUGGGAUAACACUGACGCUCAUGCACGAAAGCGUGGGGAGCAGACAGG
rnacentral:rRNA from 1 species